rnacentral:rRNA from 1 species
AGAGUUUGAUCAUGGCUCAGGAUGAACGCUAGCGGCAGGCUUAAUACAUGCAAGUCGAGGGGCAGCGGGAGUAGCAAUACUUGCCGGCGACCGGCGCACGGGUGCGUAACACGUAUACAAUCUACCCUUUACAGGGGGAUAGCCCUCCGAAAGGAGGAUUAAUACCCCAUAAUAAAUUGAAUGGCAUCAUUUGAUUUUGAAAGAUUUAUCGGUAAAGGAUGAGUAUGCGUCUGAUUAGCUAGUUGGAGAGGUAACGGCUCCCCAAGGCGACGAUCAGUAGGGGAUCUGAGAGGACUACCCCCCACACUGGUACUGAGACACGGACCAGACUCCUACGGGAGGCAGCAGUAAGGAAUAUUGGUCAAUGGAGGCAACUCUGAACCAGCCAUGCCGCGUGCAGGAAGACGGCCCUAUGGGUUGUAAACUGCUUUUGUACGGGAGAAAACCCUUUCACGUGUGGGAGGCUGAUAGUACCGUAAGAAUAAGCAUCGGCUAACUUCGUGCCAGCAGCCGCGGUAAGACGAAGGAUGCAAGCGUUAUCCGGAUUCAUUGGGUUUAAAGGGAGCGUAGGUGGACUUGUAAGUCAGUGGUGAAAUCUCUCAGCUUAACUGAGAAACUGCCAUUGAUACUGCAGGUCUUGAGUACAGAUGAUGUGGGCGGAAUAUGACAUGUAGUGGUGAAAUACUUAGAUAUGUCAUAGAACACCGAUUGCGAAGGCAGCUCACAAAACUGUAACUGACACUGAGGCUCGAAAGUGCGGGGAUCAAACAGGAUUAGAUACCCUGGUAGUCCGCACCGUAAACGAUGAUAACUCGUUGUUAGCGAUAUGACAGUUAGCGACCAAGCGAAAGCGAUAAGUUAUCCACCUGGGGAGUACGCCGGCAACGGUGAAACUCAAAGGAAUUGACGGGGGCCCGCACAAGCGGAGGAGCAUGUGGUUUAAUUCGAUGAUACGCGAGGAACCUUACCUGGGCUUGAAAGUUAGUGACCGUCUCUGAAAGGAGAUUUUCCGCAAGGACACGAAACUAGGUGCUGCAUGGCUGUCGUCAGCUCGUGCCGUGAGGUGUUGGGUCAAGUCCCGCAACGAGCGCAACCCCUACCAUUAGUUACCAGCGAGUAAUGUCGGGAACUCUAAUGGAACUGCCCGUGCAAACGGUGAGGAAGGUGGGGAUGACGUCAAGUCAUCACGGCCCUUACGUCCAGGGCUACACACGUGCUACAAUGGCCGGUACAACGGGCAGCUACACAGUGAUGUGAUGCUAAUCUCUAAAAACCGGUCUCAGUUCGGAUUGAAGUCUGCAACUCGACUUCAUGAAGCUGGAUUCGCUAGUAAUCGCGCAUCAGCAAUGGCGCGGUGAAUACGUUCCCGGGCCUUGUACA